rnacentral:snRNA from 1 species
AAAAGAUCUGACUGUGACAUCAGUCACUCCACAAAAAAAAAAAAUUAAUUUGACUGAUCUGGCUGACUAUGCAGUUGUCCCCUUAUUCCCUCAUCACUCCAUGUAUGUCCAAAAAAAAAAAACCUGCUUGGUUGAACAGGAUGACCUUCUCCAAUAGAAGAUAACUGUUCUUCAGUCAAGCUGCACUCAAAAAAAAAAACCUCAAAACAAGCUCUCAUGAUGACUAUAAAAAAAAAAAUUGAUCAAUAGAUUUAAUGUAUUUCCAAAAAAAAAAAAAGCAGGCUUUUUUUUUUUUUUU